UACGUAGGGACCAAGCGUUGUUCGGAUUUACUGGGCGUAAAGGGCGCGUAGGCGGCUUAACAAGUCACUUGUGAAAUCUCCGGGCUUAACUCGGAACGGCCAAGUGAAACUGUCAAGCUAGAGUGCAGAAGGGCAAUCGGAAUUCUUGGAUGUAGCGGUGAAAUGACGUAGAUAUCAAGAGGAACACCUGCGGCGAAGGCGGGUUGCUGGGCCGACACUGACGCUGGAGGCGACGAAAGCUAGGGGAGCGAACGGG
rnacentral:rRNA from 1 species